rnacentral:rRNA from 1 species
CAGUCGCCGCGGUAAUACGAAGGGUGCAAGCGUUACUCGGAAUUACUGGGCGUAAAGCGUGCGUAGGUGGUGGUUUAAGUCCGUUGUGAAAGCCCUGGGCUCAACCUGGGAAUUGCAGUGGAUACUGGGUCACUAGAGUGUGGUAGAGGAUAGUGGAAUUUCCGGUGUAGCAGUGAAAUGCGUAGAGAUCGGAAGGAACAUCUGUGGCGAAGGCGACUAUCUGGGCCAACACUGACACUGAGGCACGAAAGCGUGGGGAGCAAACAGGAUUAGAUACCCCCGUAGUCCCUGUCUCUAUACA